CCCAGACUCCUACGGGAGGCAGCAGUGGGGAAUCUUCCGCAAUGGGCGCAAGCCUGACGGAGCAACGCCGCGUGAGUGAAGAAGGUCUUCGGAUCGUAAAGCUCUGUUGAUGGGGACGAACGUGCCUAAUGCGAAUAGUAUUAGGCAAUGACGGUACCCAUCGAGGAAGCCACGGCUAACUACGUGCCAGCAGCCGCGGUAAUACGUAGGUGGCGAGCGUUGUCCGGAAUCAUUGGGCGUAAAGGGAGCGCAGGCGGGCAUGUAAGUCUUUCUUAAAAGUGCGGGGCUCAACCCCGUGAUGGGAAAGAAACUAUGUGUCUUGAGUACAGGAGAGGAAAGCGGAAUUCCCAGUGUAGCGGUGAAAUGCGUAGAUAUUGGGAGGAACACCAGUGGCGAAGGCGGCUUUCUGGACUGCAACUGACGCUGAGGCUCGAAAGCCAGGGGAGCGAACGGGAUUAGAUACCCCGGUAGUCCUGGCCGUAAACGAUGGAUACUAGGUGUGGGAGGUAUCGACCCCUACCGUGCCGGAGUUAACGCAAUAAGUAUCCCGCCUGGGGAGUACGGCCGCAAGGCUGAAACUCAAAGGAAUUGACGGGGGCCCGCACAAG
rnacentral:rRNA from 1 species